CACGUAGGCACCAAGCGUUGUCCGGAUUUAUUGGGCGUAAAGAGCUCGUAGGCGGUUCAGUAAGUCGGGUGUGAAAACUUUGGGCUUAACCCAAAGCGUGCAUCUGAUACUGCUGUGACUUGAGUUCGGUAGGGGAGUGGGGAGUUCCUAGUGUAGCGGUGAAAUGCGCAGAUAUUAGGAGGAACACCGGUGGCGAAGGCGCCACUCUGGGCCGAAACUGACGCUGAGGAGCGAAAGCAUGGGUAGCAAACAGG
rnacentral:rRNA from 1 species